GUGCCAGCCGCCGCGGUAAUACGUAGGUGGCAAGCGUUAUCCGGAAUUAUUGGGCGUAAAGCGCGCGUAGGCGGUUUUUUAAGUCUGAUGUGAAAGCCCACGGCUCAACCGUGGAGGGUCAUUGGAAACUGGAAAACUUGAGUGCAGAAGAGGAAAGUGGAAUUCCAUGUGUAGCGGUGAAAUGCGCAGAGAUAUGGAGGACACCAGUGGCGAAGGCGACUUUCUGGUCUGUAACUGACGCUGAUGUGCGAAAGCGUGGGGAUCAAACAGGAUUA
rnacentral:rRNA from 1 species